AAAAUAUAGGAAAAAGUGGAGGCAUCCUGAUCCUUAUAUUGUUCCCUGGGCUCCUGGUGGUUCCAAGUUUACUCGAAACCCAGUCCCGCCAUCUGGGAUUGAGAUUGUGUACGAUUAUGGUAAAGAAGACAAUGACUAAACGAGAUCUUUUCUAUUCCAAGAAAUAAAG